rnacentral:rRNA from 1 species
CUCUUCGGUUAAUACCCGGGGACGAUGACAUCAGCUGCAGAAUAAGCACCGGCUAACUCUGUGCCAGCAGCCGCGAUAAUACAGAGGGUGCAAGCGUUAAUCGGAAUUACUGGGCGUAAAGCGAGCGUAGGUGGCUUGAUAAGUCAGAUGUGAAAUCCCCGGGCUUAACCUGGGAACUGCAUCUGAAACUGUUAGGCUAGAGUAGGUGAGAGGGAAGUAGAAUUUCAGGUGUAGCGGUGAAAUGCGUAGAGAUCUGAAGGAAUACCGAUGGCGAAGGCAGCUUCCUGGCAUCAUACUGACACUGAGGCUCGAAAGCGUGGGUAGCAAACAGGAUUAGAUACCCUGGUAGUCCACGCCGUAAACGAUGUC